CUUCAUUAAGGUGAAACCGCGAAUGGCUCAUUAAAUCACACCUAAUCUACUGGAAAGUUAAACAGUUACUUGGAUAACUGAGCUAAUUGUUGAGCUAAUACAUGCGAAAAUCCCCGACUCACGGAGGGGAGCUUUUAUUAGAUCAAAAUCCAGACGGCUUUCGGGCCUGGAACCGCUGGCGACUCUGAAUAACUUUGGGCUGAUCGUAUUGCCUAGUGCAGACGACGAAUUUCCUUCGAAGGUGUGCCCUAUCAACUGUCUACUGUGAUAUAGACGCUCACAGUGGUUUUGACGGGUAACGGGGAAUCAUGGUUCGAUUCCGGAGAGGGAGCCUUAAAAACGGCAUUACCACAUCCGAGGAAGGCAGGAGGCACGCUUAUUACCCAAUGACCGAAGGACGAGGUAYAGACGAAAAAUAACGAUACACAACUCCUCCGAGGCUCUGUAAUUGGAAUGAGUAUACUUUAAAACCGUUCCCGAGGAACAGUUGGAGGGCAAGGCUGGCGCCAGCCGCCGCGGUAAUUCCACCUCCAAUAGCGUAUAUUAAAGUUGUUGUGGUUAAAAAGCUCGUAGUUGGAUCUCGGCGGGCAGCAGUCGGUGCGAACGAUUCCGCUACUGGUCUUGUUUGCUCGUGUGUUGUGUCGGGUUUCAGGCGUGCGGGUGCUCUUCGCCGAGU
rnacentral:rRNA from 1 species